CCUCCCCACCCGAGCGCCGCCGAGCGCGCCGAGCGCGCCGAGCGCGGCGGCUCCGGUCGGGCUGGGUACUCACCGCGCGGCGGGCACAUGCUGAGCGGGCACUGCGUGGACGCUGGGCCGGCGCUGGACGCGGACUGAGGGCGCAGCAGAUGUAAGAAGAUGCCAAGGCAGGGCCCAGGGAGCUGUCGUCAAAGAACUUCAGAAUUGGAGAAGAGAGUCAAAAUGUAGCCUCUGAUAUCGACACUAAUCAAAACAAUAGAAGAGCACCUACAAAGUAAAGUAUCCUCAGACUAGAAUCUCAGAUCCCUUUGGCCAAUAUCAUAAUGGAUCCAAACACCUCCACGAAUGGCUGCGAAGCCCCUCAUGGACACUGCUCUUCGUGUGCAAUCUCAGGUCUGACCUGGCUCCCUGUCCACCCACGUUUCCCGCGACUCUCAGGAAUCACUGCCUUUCUGGCCUUGAAACAUGCCGGGCAGGUUCCCACGGCAGGGUUUUUGCACUUCCUGUUCCUUCUCUCU